AUAUUGAAAAUAGCAGAGGGCCUAAUACAGAUCCUUGAGGCACUCCAUAGUUUACUAUCGUUAUCUUAGAUUUUUCCCCGUUUAAAUAAACAAAAUUGUGACGGUCUGAUAGGUACGACCUAAACCACCGUAAUGCCUGGCCCUGAAUACCAGUAUAAUUUUGUAGUUGAUCUAGGAGUAUUUUAUGAUCUACACUGUAAAAACUAAAGGUGCCUCAAAUAUCCUUUUGGAUACUCAAGGAACUUCAAAAUGUAUUUUAAAUGCCUCAAAGCUCUUUCUCCAAUAGUGGGGUUACUGGGGGAACCAUUGACAGUCUUUACAGUUCUUGCAGGAACUUAUAGGAUCCUUUAAGCACUCUGUAUUCAGUUCUGAGGUUCUUGAGUCACCUUUUCAUUACCAUGAGACCUCGAAGUGCUUUGGGGGAAGUUAGAGGAACUCAAAUUCUACAAAAGGGUUCUUGUAAGAUCUGUAAACAUUUACAUGGUUCCUGGAAGAUCUCUUUUUUAAAAGUCAGCAUCUGGUGGAACCUGGAAGUUCUGUAAGGCCACAAUAAGAUGUACAGAUUUGAACAUGUAUUAUUAUUAUUAUUAUUAUUAUUAUUAUUUACUUAUUAUUAUACUUAAGUUUGAUUAAGUAGCCUAUAGCCUACAUAGGCCUACAUUUAUUCUGUAUAUUUUAUAGAUUAAUUUAAAGCUUAAAUAAUAAUAAUAAUAAUAAUAUUAUUAUUAUUAUUAUUAUUUGAAGAAGAAACAAGAGGAGGAUAAAAAUGAUUAUGCUGUCACGGAACUGCUGCUAUUUCUCUGCUGCAUCGCUUCAGUGAUCCUCGCGCUGCUCGCGCGCGCAAAAAAGCUCACCUCAUCAUCAUCAUCAUCGGAUUUGAAAGUAACGGCUCCCCUCAUCAAAGCCUGCCGCCGCAUCCGCGGUUUGCUCGGCUAUCCGUUAUAAGAACAACCAUUUCUGAAAUAAUCUCGAUAUGUUAGAGUACCUGAACCACAUGGAUCUUGGCCUAGUAUGCUGAAACAAAAAUCCUCCUGUAGACCUGAAAAUCAUUGAAGUGCCUGGAUCAUCCACCUGAAAAGAGAAAAAAGAAGCCUAGCAGAAAACAAAGCUGCUGUACCUUUUUACUUUUCUGAUUAAUUACCUCAAAUGUACCUUGUGAAGAUUUUAUUAUUGAUUGGAUUUUAUGUUGCCGUGAGUACAAGUGCAGUCACAUUUGUGGCAUUUCUGUGAAAUCACGCAGGCAAAAAGGUCCUUUGAUCAUUAUCAGCAAUAUAGCGACAUAUUAUAUGACGCAGCUCACAUAGGAGUCGCUUUUAAUCAGCUUUCUGUUGGUCAAAUCUGGUGAAUUUGAGUAACCAACUUGGACACUUAGUGAAAUUUUUGACCACACAUGAAAUUAAUGAUUGUGUGGAUUUCUAUUGAAAUUACUGGAAUUCAUUCUCCAAACAGCAGCAAAUUUUACUGCACCUUGAAGGGUUAGUUCACCCAAAAAUAUAAUUUCUGUCAUUAAUGACUCACCCUCAUGUCAUUUCACACCCGUAAAACCUUUGUUCAUCUUCAGAACACAAAUUAAGAUAUUUUUGAUAAAAU